rnacentral:lncRNA from 1 species
GGCCCCCUGGCUAUUUUUAGCAUCAGGGCCUUGGAAGCAGGUGUGGUCCAGGCUUGAAGGCCACGCCUGGAAUCUGUUCAAGUCCUGUAGUGCCUGCACAUUGUCUAUUUAGGAGCUGAGGAUAGUGACGGGGCCACUUAGAGACGCUGUUAACAGAAUUUGUGCUUUUCCAGGGAGAGGAGUAAAAAGUCACACUGUGUUUCGUUUGCGAUGCUUAGGUAGGUUUAUCUUGGAAACUAUAAAUUGAAAUACACUUUAAGAGUGUUAGGGAAUAGAUGAUUUUUUUUUUUUUAAAAGCUAGCUGUAAAUACUUUGUAUACAGAAAAAGCCUAUAUUAAAAAGAGUUACACCCCAGCUGACCUCUUUUUUUAAAAAAAGUCCAUGUUUGUAGUCACAAGUGUGUUAUUUAAAAUUUUUUUCACCACCUCCCCCAAACGUUGUUAUUAAAAUAAUCCUUUGUAAGUCCUUUUUUGAGGUAGAAAUUCAGCUUUUACCUUGAAGGUGAACAUCAGUUUCCCUGAUUGAAUUUGUUCCUCUUCUUGCCUCAGAAACCCACACUUUCCUCAACAGUGCUGGGGACGUGAGAGCCACCAGUCAUGGCUCUCUGUGAAUGUCCUGUCCCUUUCCUCCUUUUUCUCCCUGCAGUUUCCAAGGUUAUGGGAAAGGAAGGAUAUGAUAAAUGUUACCUUUACUUAGCCCAGCAAAACCAUGAUGACAGUUUUGAAUAUAUAUGUUCAUGUGUUUGAAUGUAUGUGGGUAUUGGAGGUUCUGCUUUACCUACUGUCUCUGUUUUGAUUUGACUCGCUUUAUAGAUCAAGCUCAUCUUCUGGUUGUCGGUCAUGUUUAUUGUGGUCAUAAUAUCUUUAGUAAUUUAGCUCUUCGUCUGGAAAGUACAGCUUUCAUAAAAGGAAUUUAUGUAGUGCAGUUUUGCUGUUUGGGGGAAGGGUGGGCCAAAUGUGGUGCAUGGAUAUGGAUUAUAAAUUUGUAUGCGUAUUACCACCCCUUUGAAUACAGUUAACUACCUUCCAAAGGCCUCGUGGUAAGUAUUUGAUACACCUUCUGACAAGGAGCAUGUCUUGAACGUAUUUUUCUUUAUUUUAACGUAAAGCUCCUUUGCAUGACUUCCUGAUUGUUUAGAUCUAUUCAAGCAUACGUCUCGUUUAACAUGUCUUUGAUGUUUGACUGCGUUCUAUACCCUAAAGCCAAGCUUCUCUUAGGAGGUACGACACAUUGUAGAGUUGGGAGAAUUGUAUUAAAUUAGCAUUAACAGUACUCUUUCUUAUUGCAGUAUUUCUUUUCAUUCCUUUGUCAAGUGAUGCGUAAUCUAGGAACCACAGCUCCUUCCUUUGUAAGUUUUGAGGAAGAAACUAUACUAAACAUUCUCGGGUGUAUAUAUUAAAAUAUAUGUAAUUGUAGAAACACUUCAGUUGAAAGUUCAAGUACUAAAAAGCUGCAUUUCCACUAGAUAUUACCACAGUUCUGAAGGAAGUCUGAACACUUGCCACAUCUUUUCCUGACAUCUGCCCAGUUGGGCAUCACCUUGGUCAGUAUAUUAAUUGGCCCCAAGCCCUUGACAUAGAGAACUCCAGUCCCCCGGGCAUCCCCGCACCAUUGCUCACCUCCUUCGUGGUCUUUCCUUAACCAUCAGAACAAGACCUCCUCUGACACUCUGUCUAAAACUUUAAUAACCCCCACUUCCACUCUCCGCCUUCCUUCCCUGCUUAAUUUUUGUCUCCAAAGCACAGAUCACCACUUCUCAUACAACAUGCUUUGUUUCUGUUCUUGCUGCUUCUCAUGCGUCUCUCAUCAUAGAAACUCCAGGAGGACAAGAGCUUUUGCAUCCUUCAUUUUUGCCGCAUGUCCACAGCAGUGCUGGCCCUUCUCAGCUGCCGAUGACUGUUUGUUAGUUGACUGAGCGGGUUGCGUAGGCCUUGACAGAUGCUUAGGAAAACCAGGGUGUACCAGACAGUCCCCAUCAAACCUCUGUUCUGAACCUCCCCGCAGCUGCCUCUAGCCCCUCUUUGUUGCAGGUAUCCUUCCAAAAUGCUUUCUCCUCCGCCUCUGGCCACACUUUGUCUCGCCCAGCCCCUCCAUCCCCGGGACCCAGUCCCUCAAGGCCACCUUCCCGAGGAGGUGGAGUCCUUUGUUUUCAGGCAGAGUGCCAGGAGGAGGCCUUCAAUGCAGAGGGCGUUUGGGAGCCCUGGGGCAGGAGUGUGUGUGGGAGGGUUACCUGGUGAGGCAGAAGGGAAGAGGAGGGCAGGGAGUUGGCAGAGGGGGAGAGUCAGGGUGGGUCAGGGAGGGGAAAGCUGGCGAAACAGGUGACGGUACACAGGAGGCUUCCACGGAGCCAGUACCGAGAGCGCACUGCUCUUCCUUAGCAGAGGCACGGGGGGAGGCUUCUGGCUGAUCUGGAUUCCACCUGGGCAGGCCUGUGUGAAGCAAAGGCCUUAUGUUUAGUCUUCGGAGGAUGGCUCCUCUGCCAGCCUUGUGGAUCUUUGAGAUGCAUGCAACCACCCUGAGCCUCUGCUAAGAGCAGGUUCCUUCAGCAGUGCUGUGAGUUCCUGAAGGGUGGUUGGACUUUAUGCUGCUGACAAGUCUUGUCCCCGUGCCUGGUUCUGUCUAGACCCUGAUUUGAGCAGCCUCGGUGCCGUUACUGCCACCACCACCACUGGUCAGGUUGCGUCCUCAGCUUUGGGAUGAGAAAAUGUGGUCAGGGCAUGAGUAGGUGACUGAAAAACACAUCAUCUCGUAUUGUCGUCUUGGCCUUGGGUUUUUGAGUUUUUUGUUUCUCUAUUGAAUAUGUUUUACAAAAUAUCGGACCUCAGAAUUUCUAUCCGGAUCAACCUGCAGCCUGUGAGGCAGAGUUGCUUUAAUCCAAGUAGAAUGAAGAUGGCCAAAGUCCAGGAUGCUCUUGCUUCCAGACGGCGUGGCCUGCAAUCCCCCCUUUUGAUUUGUUCUCUCACUGAAUGUGUGUAACGCUCUGCGGAAAGGCUGUUGGCUGUGUCUUGUCGCCUCUGUUAUGGGAGGAAAAAAAAAUUUAAGACCAGCUCGUAGUUUAAUAAUAGUAAACUUCUCACCUGAUUAUGUCCUUUCUAUAAAUUCUCUGAGAAUCUGAACUCGAGCUCAAGCCGGCCAAACAAGGUUCAGUCCCUCUCCUUUUUGAACCGAGCAGGCACAGCCGUGGGCUCCUUUCCCCCCUCCUGAGAAUGCCCAUGUUGCUGCUCUGGUGCAGGUUUGAUCCCUGGCCUGGGAGCGUCCACAUGCCACAGGUACAACCAAAAAAAGUAAAAUGGAAAUGUGUCUCUCUGGGUGCAGCCCCUGCCUUCUCCUGGGUCCCCCUCUUCAGACCAGCAGAGAAUUCACUGAGCCUGUCUCACCCACCCGUGGGCCCUGAUGGGGGCUAUAGGGCAGCAGUGCAUGGCCUCACCGCUUUCCUGGUGGGAUAGACCCAGUGCAGUAUGAUCCUAGAAGCCAGGAUUGUGUCUGGAAGUUGAAAAAAAAAAA